UACGUAGGGUGCAAGCGUUGUCCGGAAUUAUUGGGCGUAAAGGGCUCGUAGGCGGUCCAUCGCGUCGGGAGUGAAAAGCUGGGGCUUAACCCCAGUCCUGCUUCCGAAUACGGGUGGACUAGAGGUAGGCAGGGGAGAACGGAAUCCUGGUGUAGCGGUGGAAAUGCGCAGAUAUCAGGAGGAACACCGGUGGCGAAGGCGGUUCUCUGGGCCUUACCUGACGCUGAGGAGCGAAAGCUAGGGGAGCGAAAGGG
rnacentral:rRNA from 1 species